AAAGCACUCAUUCUCUUUUAAACAUUAUUAAUCGUGUAUAUUUUACACAGGAAGAGGAAUAUAUACUACCGAUAACUUUGACGUUUACGAUGGCGAAUGGAACAAUGAUUCUUUUGCCGACACUACAAUUCACAUUCGGUAUAAUAACAACGCUCAGUAUCGAGGUAGAGUCGAACCAAACGGUACAAUGAACGGUCCUGGAACGUAUACAUUUCCGGAUGGAUCUUCAAUUGAGGCUGAUUGGGUCAAUAACAAACCACUUACGAAUGUUAUCUACAGAGAACCUAGAGGGUUUGAAUGGACACUUGUAAACGUGACGGAUAAUGUAAAAAUAUUUAGAUCACUAAUUAUGAUGUAAGAUUAACAUUGCAAUCGUAAUUACAGGCGAUUUCUUUUUCUCCUGGAAAUCAUUUCUGGCGUGAUCUAUUAUCUGAUCAAAGCACCACGCAUUCUACCGAGUCUUUCGGCGAAGGGGAACUGAAUUAAUUCAAUGAAUGCACUUUUAUAGCCUAAUUGUUCUCGAUUAAUCCUCUUUGUAUAUGGAGGGUACCCUAAAUCGAGAUGUCGCGGGCCUAAACAGAGGAUUUUCGCUCAAACUAAACACAGUUUUCUUUUGUUCCUGUAUGAACUUCUCGUAUUCUCUUUUGUCUUUUAUGGAAGUCCAACACCUAUGCAAACACAAUAAACGUUUAUAAAAAGAAAUUGCAAUUUAAUCAUAGUUUACUCGAGAGAUACUUACUUCCAAAUCAGUAAACAAAUGAUUCCAAUAAAUAAUAUUACAAAGAUGAUCACAGAUGAAAUGACUGCUGUAUGUAUCGGAGUACUGCAAUACUAGAAUCGUCAGAAGAUCUCGAUGAAAAAAAGGGAGAAACGUAAUAAAAAUAUUCAGUACAAUAAGCUGUGUAUCUUACCUUGCUUCCGAUUUUCAAAGAAACAACAUUGUUUUGCUGGAACUCGUAUACGUACGGUAUGAUACAGAUCGUUUGAUCUUUUUUCGUUUUUACAACACAGUAGUGUUCGUUUCCUACGAAACACAAGAGAUAACAAUAUUCUAAUGAUAUCGAAAUUAAGAUUCAUUAAUCUAUCAAGUGGAUUGUUACCUUUGUCAACAGAGUCGACUAGUUUGGUUUCGUAAGAGGUUUCGUUAGUCUGGCAAAAUUCGUCCACAUUCUGAGGAUCUUCGAUGGUGGCAUUCACGCAAGGAUUGUAAAGAAUACAGAGAGCACUACCACCCGCGCUGAUCGACGAUUCGCAGUAAGUGCCCCGAUAAUAAGAACCGUCUGUCGCUGUAACAUUACAUCUGAACGGACACCAAUUUCAGUCGUUUACAAAAUUGAACAAUUUAACGAGAGUUAUGUAAAAACGCACGAACCGACAUUCUCCACAAUCGCAGUAGCCGUGACCAGCACAGACUUCCUUGCUUCCUGGUGCCACGCAGGGAUCAUCGGUCGAUGGACACUGGCAGGCAUUUCCUUGCCAGCCUUCGAUACAAUGGCAGACACCACAUUUACAAAUUCCUUUGUUCGAGCAUUCUAUACCAUCGAUCUAGAAGAGGAUUCAUUUGACUCGACGGUGCUUUUAAUCCGUUAAUAUCUUAUAAUGAUCACCUUGUCGCAUCCUGAGCAUUCGCAAAAUUGUCCCGUGUAGCCCUCGUCGCAAAGGCAGCUGCCGCAAACGCAUUCGCCCCUGUCGGAGCAAAGUUUCGUCGAGUUAGCGGCUAUACAUUGCAACCUGUUGUCCAUCGGCGAACUUUCGUCGCAAUCGCAUUUCUCGCCUGUUCAAUUCAUCGACAUUAAAGUUCCAUCCACGAAGAGGAUCUACACGAGUUACAGCUACUGUUCUUACCAGACCAACCGUUGUUGCACUUGCAAAUACCGCACUCGUCUGUUCCGUGUUCGCAGGGAGAGUCUUCGGAGUCCUUGCAAUUGCAACCGCAUGCCAGCUCAACUUCGACUACCACUUGAGAUACCUCAGAGGCCAGCGCAUCCUCGAUCACGAUUGUUUGUUUCUAAAGAACAUGACUCUCGUUUCUUGGACACUUGUCGAUCGACAGGACAACCUUGAAGUCGUACACCUGGCCUUCCUCUAUAUCCUCGCACUCGGAGGUGUUCCAUUCCAGUACGUUCGCGUUGCCGCAAUUAGAAAAAUAUUCAAUUCGCAGUGGAUACGAGGAAUUGUCGCGUAAGAUCACCUUCGAGGUGAUUUGAUGCAACGCGACCGUUGAUUCGUACUCGCUACGCCGAUCCUCGGUCACAGCGAAUAUCAAGUUGAUUUUGUGCUCCUGUAACAGCCUAGACAGCUCUCCCAAAGAACAGUAAUCGUACUUGGUAGCCAGAGAGUAUUGGCCACGCUUAUCGAGAUGACACUUGAAGUCCUGUCGCGUCACAGCACCGCCUAGCUAAUUAGAAACACAUCAGACACCUCACGCAUCCUGUCUGUGCCGAUUAUAUCGAUUCGCGUUACCUUUCCUUCGCCAGCAAAAUGCAGGUAUCCAUCGGUCGCUACCAGGAUGAUCUUACGUGCAUGCUGCACCCAGCCAACUUGUUCCUUGCAAAGGAUCGACUGCACAACUCCGUCCAACGCGCCCUCCAAGUUGUCCACGUUUCCAGUUACACGGCUUUCAUUUACCUGAAACUCGUCUUGAUUAAAAAUUUUCGAUUAUUUGAUUAUCUCGAGAUAGAUCAAACGCAUACUUCUUUGAUAAACCGUUGAAUAUCGUGAGUCAGUUCCAGGUGGUGUUGAAAGUCGUAAAGGGGCGAGCAAACAGCGUGCUCGCUCUUGCAAGGAUUAUCCUCGUGUCCUGGAAAUAUGUACGGCAUCAGGGGUUUGUCGGCGUAGCUGCCAAAGCCUAGGCGAAAAUUCUUGGUGAACGUGCCGAACGUUCGACUCAUGUCUCGUCCUAAACUGGCCAGGGUCUCUUUGUCGUCCUUCAUCGACCACGUCAGGUCCAUCAGGUACGAUUCAACGAAUUCUCGUCGUUAUCAUUAAUGAAUCGAGUAAACAAACGUACUUGGCUACCCGAUAACGGAUCGGAAUCUCGGUCUUGGAAUGGGACUGAAUCUUGACUUUUACUCUUUGGGGCCUCAACUGGAUCGGCGUACGUCCUGCUUCCAACACGUCCUGAAAGUCCGAGUUCUCCAGGAUGUCCAUCGAUCCUAGAGAAUUGCUGCGAAUUUCAUCCAAAGGGCAGCCGAAUGCUUUCAACCUUUCCGUUAGAACGACAUUUACCCAGUCACUGCACCACGAACAGGAGAAACUGGCCUGCAAACAAUUUUCACAGGUAUUUUGAGAAACGCACAACCUGAGGAUCUUCGUCUCCGCGCUUUCGGAAUCUUCCCAUUCGCGGCACAGAAGAAUCGCGAAGAAUACAGCUUUAAGAAGUCUCAUCUUCAAGAUCUCAGUCAACAUCCAGCUGCUCGAUCUUCUUUCGAUGAGAAUCUUUGGUCCAUUCUUGAGGAGAACUCGUCUACGUUCGCGAUUACUAUAAAUCUAAACGUUACUUCUGCAAUCGGCACCGAAUGGUACCUGAACGCGACUGUUCUCGUUAUCUAUGCUACGAUAACGACACGCGUCGUUCUCGUACGUGUUGGGAAAAAAAGACGAAAAAAAUGUGUGCCGAUUUGCUAUCUCUUCGUUACAGCGAAUCGACAUUUAUCUUCCACUUGAAUCCGAAUCAAUGGUCGCAAAUAGAGACCGGCACGAUGUCGCGCGCUCGGUUAGUAUUCAAUAUCUUCUCACGUUUUCAUCGAUCUUCUUCGUUUUCCAACGAUCGAUCGUUUCGCUCGUCGGCAAAGUAUGUAUGAUGUAAAACGACAGACACUUGGCGAAGCGAACGCGUUCGACUGGACGCAUCUCAUAGUCAUCGACGUCGUUACUAUUUUGCUGUGGACCUAAACGAUUCUAGCUGCCAGCUAACAUUGUCUCCUAUGUCACGUACAUGUGACAGAUAGACGAUAUCGAUGUUUCCAUGUACAGGGUGUUCCCGACAGAGAGUGAGUUUGAAAUUAUACAGCCACGAUUUCGUUUCAUCCGGUGGCCUAGUUCUCAAACGGUAACUAUGUUUCUCGUUUUGAAGAGCGAGGAAAGAAAGCUGCUCGUUUCGUUGUAAAUUGUAAUUCUGUCGGAAAGACACUUGUGCAAUGAACAGAUGGUUUCUUGCUUUUCUUUUUCUUGGUCACUUAUUGACUCGCGAUACCUGAUGUAUUAUUUGCAGUUAUCGCGAAACAGAUAUGUUUUCGUUUAUUGUUACGAGCAGCCUUGUAAGUAUUGUCAAUGUUUUGCUACAAUGUUUGCAUACAUUUCAUUUCGCUUGAGCGUAUCUCAAUAAUGCGAUGACGAAUGUGGUAUCGUAACGCGAUAUCAUUAUUCCUGCAGCGAUGAUUGAAAAGAAUACUAACGAGUUAGAGUCGACGUAGACUAAUUAAGAUCUGUCAGUACGAAUGAAUUACUUACAUUAGACAGAAGUUAAAAUGAAAUGGAGGAAAACUGUGCUAUACUCUUCUGAAGGAUUUUUAAACACGUAUAGAUAAAGAAAACGAUAGAAAAACAUGUCAAGUUAUUCGUUCCAAUACGAUUGCAAUGCAAUGUUUAUGCAAUUUAUAUCCGAAGCGUAUGUUGUUCCAUUAUCGCUGCAUUUCGUUGACACAGUAACGGGAAGAAAUAAAAAGCCGCGACUGUAUGUACUCUUCCUUGUAUAAAACGGGCGCGUUAUCAAUUGCUGACAUAAUCGUGAAAUUCUCGUUUCGAAUCGUACAUCUGCCUUUCCGCCUAUCUGCAUUUAUAUGUAUUUUCGUUUCGCGAUACAUUUAUGUUAACUACAAGAUCAUCGAUAUUUUGAAAAUUAUCACGAAUAUUAUUUAAAUAUAUUACUCGUCGUUUGAGAAAGGAUGCGCAUAAUUUUUGAAGGGAAGAAAGAAAAUAUGGAGCGAAGUUGAUCGGCAAACAAUCAACUCGAGGAGACGACGAAACCUCAGUGAAAGCCGGUCAUUUUGCAUUUCGUAGUUUCUAAUGCCUUUAUGCAUCGACAAUCGCGUAAUUAUACGAUUUCUCGAAUUAUUGGGUCGUUUACGAUCAAAUAUUUCAAACAGAAAAUGAUACAUUUACUUGUAAAUCUAGGCAAUGAGCUCGAGAUGCAUAAAUAAUAUGAUAAAAUAGAAAAUCCGAUUUUAUUACAAUGUUCAUUUAUAAAGUAAUCGGUCGUAUAUCACGAAAAAACAUAUGGCACUCUGUACUAAAUAAUAUCGUGUAUCCAUCACGAUGAGCUUGCCUCCGUAAAUCAUCAAGAUCGAUAGUUUAAAAUAGGUCAAUGUUUAAAAAUUACACAAACUUUAUUUUUCUUUCCUUCUGUUCCUGCUUGACAUCGGCGAGUCGUUUCACAACGAUUCGUUAAGUUGCUACAUACGGUUCGAUAAAUAUACACGCAUUUGUUCCUUUACAACCACAAAGUACAAAUUACAAAUAGAAAAAUCCUUACUCUACCCUUACGCUAUCCUUACGUUAGUGCUGAUCACAUAGUUGCCGAUUGUAUAAAUUGUACUUCUGUAGUUUGGACCAGUUGUUUUUUUUACUUGCAAUGUCACCAGCAACAAGUAACUCUAAAAUAUCAUUAUUAUUACAUAAAAACAUCGAAAUACACGAUGAAAGUUUGUGCAAUGCCUUCCAGGAGACAUAAUGCAUUUAAACAACAAGAUCCAACGAUUUUGAUAUACAUAUGCUUUUAAAACCUUCCUCUUUCUACUAAUGUCACUGUGUAUAUGUGCGUCUGUUGUUGCCUUUUUUAUCUGUUCUAACGAGGUUAACAAAAGAACACCAAAAUAUAAUUUUUUUACCAUUACUCUCUUUCGAUACGAGAUACGAGUCUCUCUAUUAGGCUGUCUCUCCAACAGGAUAGUGGAGCCCUGAUAAAGACAAUCGCUUUACCAACGCUACAUUUUUCCUUGUCUCGUUCUACGAAACAUGUCCCAAUAUUAUGCAAUAACCUGUCCGUGGACAGGUCUUCUUUUUUCUCUGACGUACAUACAGUAAAUUCUAACGUGCGUGUACCGCGUACAAAACGAUUUCUCUACACUUAAAACACGAUACGGGCGUAAACAACGUACCCUACUUGUUCCUUUCUUGCCGUUACGCUAAAUGAUAUGUAUUUUCUUUUUCUUUUUUACCAUGUUCUGUAUUCGAGAAAAAAAAAA